UACGGAGGAUCCGAGCGUUAUCCGGAUUUAUUGGGUUUAAAGGGUGCGUAGGCGGCCUGUUAAGUCAGGGGUGAGAGACGGUAGCUCAACUAUCGCAGUGCCCUUGAUACUGAUGGGCUUGAAUGUACUAGAGGUAGGCGGAAUGUGACAAGUAGCGGUGAAAUGCAUAGAUAUGUCACAGAACACCAAUUGCGAAGGCAGCUUACUAUGGUAUUAUUGACGCUGAGGCACGAAGCUUGUGGGAGCGAGAGGG
rnacentral:rRNA from 1 species